rnacentral:rRNA from 1 species
AUGCAGUCGAGCGGAGAAGGGAGCUUGCUCCUGGAUUCAGCGGCGGACGGGUGAGUAAUGCCUGGGAAUCUGCCUGGUAGUGGGGGAUAACGUCCGGAAACGGGCGCUAAUACCGCAUACGUCCUGAGGGAGAAAGUGGGGGAUCUUCGGACCUCACGCUAUCAGAUGAGCCUAGGUCGGAUUAGCUAGUUGGUGGGGUAAAGGCCUACCAAGGCGACGAUCCGUAACUGGUCUGAGAGGAUGAUCAGUCACACUGGAACUGAGACACGGUCCAGACUCCUACGGGAGGCAGCAGUGGGGAAUAUUGGACAAUGGGCGAAAGCCUGAUCCAGCCAUGCCGCGUGUGUGAAGAAGGUCUUCGGAUUGUAAAGCACUUUAAGUUGGGAGGAAGGGCAGUAAGUUAAUACCUUGCUGUUUUGACGUUACCAACAGAAUAAGCACCGGCUAACUUCGUGCCAGCAGCCGCGGUAAUACGAAGGGUGCAAGCGUUAAUCGGAAUUACUGGGCGUAAAGCGCGCGUAGGUGGUUCAGCAAGUUGGAUGUGAAAUCCCCGGGCUCAACCUGGGAACUGCAUCCAAAACUACUGAGCUAGAGUACGGUAGAGGGUGGUGGAAUUUCCUGUGUAGCGGUGAAAUGCGUAGAUAUAGGAAGGAACACCAGUGGCGAAGGCGACCACCUGGACUGAUACUGACACUGAGGUGCGAAAGCGUGGGGGAGCAAACAGGAUUAGAUACCCUGGUAGUCCACGCCCGUAAACGAUGUCGACUAGCCCGUUGGGAUCCUUUGAGAUCUUUAGUGGGCGCAGCUAACGCCGAUUAAGGUUCGACCCGCCCUGGGGGAGUAGGACCGGCAUGGAUGA